rnacentral:tRNA from 1 species
GGGCGGGUGAUCUAGCCCGGCAUGAUGUCGCGUUCACGUCGCGAAUGUCGCCGGUUCAAAUCCGGCCCCGCCCACCA